rnacentral:rRNA from 1 species
GGCCAGACUCCUACGGGAGGCAGCAGUGGGGGAUAUUGCACAAUGGGGGGAACCCUGAUGCAGCGACGCCGCGUGGGUGAAGAAGUAUUUCGGUAUGUAAAGCCCUAUCGGCAGGGAAGAAUUUAGACGGUACCUGACUAAGAAGCCCCGGCUAACUACGUGCCAGCAGCCGCGGUAAUACGUAGGGGGCAAGCGUUAUCCGGAUUCACUGGGUGUAAAGGGAGCGUAGACGGCCAUGCAAGCCUGGAGUGAAAGCCCGGGGCCCAACCCCGGGACUGCUCUGGGAACUGUGCGGCUGGAGUGCGGGAGGGGCAGGCGGAAUUCCUGGUGUAGCGGUGAAAUGCGUAGAUAUCAGGAGGAACACCGGCGGCGAAGGCGGCCUGCUGGACCGCGACUGACGUUGAGGCUCGAAAGCGUGGGGAGCAAACAGGAUUAGAUACCCUCGUAUAA